UACGAGGGGGGCGAGCGUUGUUCGGAAUUAUUGGGCGUAAAGGGUGCGUAGGCGGUUCCGCAAGUCCUGUGUGAAAUCUUCGGGCUCAACUCGAAGUCUGCACGGGAAACUGCGGGGCUCGAGUGUGGGAGAGGAAAGUGGAAUUCCUGGUGUAGCGGUGAAAUGCGUAGAUAUCAGGAGGAACACCGGUGGUGUAAACGGCUUUCUGGACCAUAACUGACGCUGAGGCACGAAAGCGUGGGUAGCAAACAGG
rnacentral:rRNA from 1 species